rnacentral:misc_RNA from 1 species
GAAAAUUUGGGGUUUUGGGUGUUUGAGUUGUUGUGUAUCUGAUUCUUGAGCUGCUUGAAGUUUGUUGAUUUGAGUUGAGUAGUGGAGUUAGCUUUGUUUGAUGAUGCCACUACCAAGAAGGAAAAAGUUUGUUGGUUGAGAAAAGGAGUGAUCUUUGGUAUUCCCUUUAGUUUUUCUUGGAAAUUUGGGUUAUUUGUAGUGUUGAUUGAUAUUUGU